rnacentral:rRNA from 1 species
AUUGAACGCUGGCGGCAGGCCUAACACAUGCAAGUCGAACGGUAACAGGAAACAGCUUGCUGUUUCGCUGACGAGUGGCGGACGGGUGAGUAAUGUCUGGGAAACUGCCUGAUGGAGGGGGAUAACUACUGGAAACGGUAGCUAAUACCGCAUAACGUCGCAAGACUAAAGAGGGGGACCCUCGGGCCUCUUGCCAUCGGAUGUGCCCAGAUGGGAUUAGCUUGUUGGUGGGGUAACGGCUCACCAAGGCGACGAUCCCUAGCUGGUCUGAGAGGAUGACCAGCCACACUGGAACUGAGACACGGUCCAGACUCCUACGGGAGGCAGCAGUGGGGAAUAUUGCACAAUGGGCGCAAGCCUGAUGCAGCGACGCCGCGUGAAGGAUGAAGGCUUUCGAGUCGUAAACUUCUGUUAAGUGGAAGAAAUGCACAUGGUUAAUACCCAUGUGAGCUGACGGUACCACUAGAGAAAGCACCGG